CGUAGGGGGCGAGCGUUAUCCGAAUUUACUGGGCGUAAAGCGCGCGUAGGCGGGCUAUUAAGUCGGAUGUGAAAUCUCCACGGCUCAACCGGGAAACUGCAUCCGAAACUGGUGGCCUUGAGGUAUGGAGAGGGAAGUGGAAUUCCAGGUGUAGCGGUGAAAUGCGUAGAUAUCUGGAGGAACACCCGUGGCGAAGGCGGCUUCCUGGCCAUAUCCUGACGCUGAGGUGCGAAAGCCAGGGGAGCGAACGGGAUUAGAUACCCCGGUAGUCCUGGCCGUAAACGAUGGAUACUAGGUGUUAGUGGUAUCGACCCCACUAGUGCCGUAGCUAACGCAUUAAGUAUCCCGCCUGGGGAGUACGGCCGCAAGGUUG
rnacentral:rRNA from 1 species